UAGAUGAGGAAAUGGGCUGUUGAGUGACUGGAUCAGGCCAGAACUCAGCUCUGCCCUCUCAAACGCCUUCCAGCCUCCACUUCCCACCCUACUAACCAGCAGCAGUCACUUCUCUGCAGAGGAGAAGAGGUGAGAGUAGAGUAAGGCAGAGGCCUGGAUCCGGGAUGAACUGCUGGGUGCAGCCCGGGGACGGGAGCCACGCCUGCCUCAUUCAACAUCACACGCUGGAAUCCAACUUUGGGCCACCGUGGUCAUGCAUGGAAUACAUGGGUUAGGAUGGGCACCUAACCCAUGCGAUUCCUCCCCCACCCAAUGAGCAGAAAACAUCAGUGAGGGGGAGGACAGAAACCUGAAGCGGGCAAGACAAACACAAGGAACCUUGCUGCAAAAGCUAAAACGACAGAUUCCGGAGACAUUUCGGAAUGGUGGAAUUGAAAGAAACAUCAGGGCAAACACAGUUGGUCACUGGGUCGAGGAUGAAAAAAGCACCGAACGGAGGCCGCCCCAACGAACCAGGCGCCGGAAAAAGCUCUCUCAAUUUCAUUUCAUGGGACCGUGCGAUUCUUACGCAACCGUGCCAAUGUGAGGCAUCUCGAUGGCAUUAAAGUCUUGUUAAAA
rnacentral:lncRNA from 1 species